rnacentral:rRNA from 1 species
GUGGAUUAGAUACCCUGGUAGUCCUAGCCGUAAACAAUGGGCACUAGGUGUUGUCGGUAUCGACCCCGGCAGUGCCGAAGCUAACGCAUUAAGUGCCCCGCCUGGGGAGUACGACCGCAAGGUUAAAACUCAAAGGAAUUGACGGGGGCCCGCACAAGCAGCGGAGCGUGCGGUUUAAUUCGAUGGUACGCGAAGAACCUUACCCAGACUUGACAUGCGAGUGGUAGGAAGCCGAAAGGUAACCGACCCGCAAGGGAGCUCGUACAGGUGUUGCAUGGCUGUCGCCAACU